rnacentral:rRNA from 1 species
UCUACGGGCGGCAGCAGUGAGGAAUAUUGGUCAAUGGGCGCAAGCCUGAACCAGCCAAGUCGCGUGAGGGAUGACGGUCCUAUGGAUUGUAAACCUCUUUUGUCGGGGAGCAAGGCCCGCCACGUGUGGCGGGAAGGAGAGUACCCGAAGAAAAAGCAUCGGCUAACUCCGUGCCAGCAGCCGCGGUAAUACGGAGGAUGCGAGCGUUAUCCGGAUUUAUUGGGUUUAAAGGGUGCGUAGGUUGUUUUUUAAGUCAGCGGUGAAAGUUUGUGGCUCAACCAUAAAAUUGCCGUUGAAACUGGAAGACUUGAGUGUGUUUGAGGUAGGCGGAAUGCGUGGUGUAGCGGUGAAAUGCAUAGAUAUCACGCAGAACUCCGAUUGCGAAGGCAGCUUACUAAGCCAUAACUGACACUGAAGCACGAAAGCGUGGGGAUCAAACAGGAUUAGAUACCCCAGUAGUC